rnacentral:rRNA from 1 species
UACGGAGGGGGCUAGCGUUGUUCGGAAUUACUGGGCGUAAAGGGCUCGUAGGCGGCCAACUAAGUCGGACGUGAAAUCCCCAGGCUCAACCUGGGAACUGCGUCUGAUACUGGAUGGCUUGAAUCCGGGAGAGGGAUGCAGAAUUCCAGGUGUAGCGGUGAAAUGCGUAGAUAUCUGGAGGAAUACCGGUGGCGAGGGCGGCAUCCUGGACCGGCAUUGACGCUGAGGAGCGAAAGCUAGGGGAGCAAACGGG